GUAGGGAAUAUUGCGCAAUGGGGGAAACCCUGACGCAGCAACGCCGCGUGAGUGAGGAAGGUCUUCGGAUUGUAAAACUCUUUUCUUAGAGAAAAAUGGCUACAGAGCUAAUACCCUGUAGUUUGAUGGUAUCUAAGGAAUAAGCACCGGCUAACUUCGUGCCAGCAGCCGCGGUAAUACGAAGGGUGCAAGCGUUGUUCGGAAUCAUUGGGCGUAAAGCGCGCGCAGGCGGAUCAGCAAGUCAGAUGUGAAAUCUCGAAGCUCAACUUCGAAACUGCGUCUGAAACUGCUAGUCUAGAAUGUCGGAGGGGGCAGGGGAAUUUCACGUGUAGGGGUAAAAUCCGUAGAGAUGUGAAGGAACACCGGAGGCGAAGGCGCCUGCCUGGACGACUAUUGACGCUGAGGCGCGAAAGCGUGGGGAGCAAACAGGAUUAGAAACCCUAGUAGUCC
rnacentral:rRNA from 1 species